rnacentral:rRNA from 1 species
GACAGAGGUCCCGAGCGUUAUGCGGAAUUACUGGGCGUAAAGGGCGCGUAGGCGGCCUGCUAUGUCGAACGUGAAAUCCCCGGGCUCAACCCGGGAACUGCGUCCGAAACUGGCAGGCUUGAAUCCGGGAGAGGGAUGUGGAAUUCCAGGUGUAGCGGUGAAAUGCGUAGAUAUCAAGAGGAACACCUGCGGCGAAGGCGGGUUGCUGGGCCGACACUGACGCUGAGGCGCGAAAGCUAGGGGAGCGAACGGG